GCUGGGCGUGGUGGCUCACGCCUGUAAUCCCAGCACUUUGGGAGGCCGAGGUGGGUGGAUCACUUGAGGUCAGGAGUUCAAGACCAGCCUGGCCAACAUGGUGAAACCCCAUCUCUA
rnacentral:SRP_RNA from 1 species